rnacentral:lncRNA from 1 species
UUCUCGGACAGAUUCGUCCUACUUUACGAAAACGGACCAUAACUCACUCAAUAUGAUAGGUAUGAUCAAAUGGUUGGUGUCCCUGGAAAGUAGACACAUAGACCUUUCCAAUGGUACUAAUUUCACCAUUUUCCAGUGAGUGAGAUUUCCUAUAGGUCUCGUGGAAGUUGACCUAUAAAACUUGACAGAUUCUGAUUUCGCUUUUGAUGUGUCUUUCUUAUGUAGGGAUAGAAUAAGCCUCAACCUUUCAUACCAUUAAGUAUUGAAAAAGGAGUUACUGCCAUUACAUUGGCGUUGCGUGGGCGCAUAGCUACACUUAGCUUUACAACUUUUCAUAGCGAAUGAGAUGUCAAGUCUUUUGUAUUGUGUUGAGUACAUUGAUGCGUCUUUUUGUACUUAGAUGCGAACUCCAUCUCUUAACACAUAUUUGUCAUCUUGCUUUAGACAAAACAACGGAUCUCUCUUUAGAGCAAAGACCUUGACUAAUCAUGGGAGUAUAUGUAGGCCUCACUAGUUAUAGAGCGCCUAAGCCGAUUGAUCAUCAAUACAGUCAUCGAGUGCCUUAUCGAGACUCAUCGAGUGCCUUAUCGAGACUGUGUCUUCCCAAGAUUUUUUCUUCGGAUGUUGAUACAUAUUGGCAUCUCUUGAUCCAUCAAGAGUCCAUGUAAAUCCGGAAUGAACACGCAAAGGCAUAAUUCACCAUAUCCCUUCCAAAUCAAGUAGAGUUCAUGUGCGUUUCAAUACAUUUAGCAAACGCAUGCUCCUGUGGUUUGGAGCAACUUGAUUUGGAUGAAUGAAGUAUGUUUAAGAUCUUCAUGUAUAUCUCUGAUCCCAUAGAGAUGUUAUUAUGACCACAUUCAUAGGCUGCAUGUUCAGUUAGUCGGAAACUACCAAACUGACAAAGUAGUGGAGUUCAAUGACAUCCAUUACGAGAGCAUAUCUCAUCGUAGUCGACCCAGUGCGUGUUAGUGAGAGACCUUGCGCCAUAAGGUGAGUCUAAGCUCUUGUUCUCACUGCGNNN